rnacentral:rRNA from 2 species
GACGGGUAGCCGGCCUGAGAGGGCGACCGGCCACACUGGGACUGAGACACGGCCCAGACUCCUACGGGAGGCAGCAGUGGGGAAUAUUGCACAAUGGGCGAAAGCCUGAUGCAGCGACGCCGCGUGAGGGAUGACGGCCUUCGGGUUGUAAACCUCUUUCAGCAGGGAAGAAGCGAAAGUGACGGUACCUGCAGAAGAAGCGCCGGCUAACUACGUGCCAGCAGCCGCGGUAAUACGUAGGGCGCAAGCGUUGUCCGGAAUUAUUGGGCGUAAAGAGCUCGUAGGCGGCUUGUCACGUCGGUUGUGAAAGCCCGGGGCUUAACCCCGGGUCUGCAGUCGAUACGGGCAGGCUAGAGUUCGGUAGGGGAGAUCGGAAUUCCUGGUGUAGCGGUGAAAUGCGCAGAUAUCAGGAGGAACACCGGUGGCGAAGGCGGAUCUCUGGGCCGAUACUGACGCUGAGGAGCGAAAGCGUGGGGAGCGAACAGGAUUAGAUACCCUGGUAGUCCACGCCGUAAACGGUGGGCACUAGGUGUGGGCAACAUUCCACGUUGUCCGUGCCGCAGCUAACGCAUUAAGUGC